rfam:Parcubacteria bacterium GW2011_GWA2_47_8 TY09_C0011, whole genome shotgun sequence.
UCCGGGGUAGCUCAACGGUGGAGCGCUCGGCUGUUAACCGAAGGGUUGUGGGUUCGAGUCCCACCCCCGGAG